AUCAAAGGGGUUGCCAGGAGCAGAUCCUGAACCCAUCUAGCACAUCAGUCCAGAGUUGAUGACUAGGUGUCCACCUUCACAUGGGAUAAGUGUAGCUUCUUGCCUAAACACCACAUAGGGAUAUUCCUGGGAGCUCGGUAAAACUCUAGAGAGGAAAGCCAAGCAUGAGGGCCCACAGGCAGGCCUGUGAGGAGGCCCAUGUAGAGAACAACUGAAGUCUUCUGCAACUUUCCAGAUAAAGGAGCGAGCCCCUUUGGAAGCAGCACUUGCGGCCCUAAUCACGCCUUCUACUGAUAAAAGCACCUGUUAAAACCUGAUUGUACUCUCAUCAAAGACCCUGAAAUAGAACUAUCCAAUCAAGCUACUUUAAAAUUGCCAACCCACAGAAACCAUGAAAGGCCUCAUCCAAUUAAUUAAAGGCCUUCAGAGCAGAAACUGAGGACUUCUCAAGAAGAAUUUCUACGUCAAGGCUGUAGUAUCAACUUCUGCCUGUUUCUAGCCUGUCGGUCUACAGAUUUCAAAUUCACGGGCCAAAAUUGUGUGAUGCUGAGUGGUCAGAUUGGACACCAGCCUGUGAGCAGUAGUGACCUGUGUCAUAUUUAGGACAAGCCACUGAGGAGCCAGGAUGUUUUCUCCUUCUUUCCCUUCUAGACUGGAAGUAUCUUAGACACUAUCUGCCACUAAAAAUACCAUUGCCAUUAAAAAAAAAAAAAGAAAAAAAAAAAAGACAGCCCAACUAGUAGUGGACUGAUAUGAACAAAAUAAAAUCUUUUUUAUGUUAAGUAACUGAGAUUUCAAAUUUCAUCAUUUUACCAGUUUAUCCUAUCUUGAAUAAUACAUUAUCUAAAUGGAAAAGAAUCAGGUCAUGGACUUAUUAAUCAGAGGUCUUCUGGUUGUAUGCAAAUGAAAAGCCGUCUCAAUCCAUUUUUAAAAAUAGAAUGGUUUAUAUAAAUUGAGUGGUCC
rnacentral:lncRNA from 1 species